UGACCUCGGAUCAGGUAGGGAUACCCGCUGAACUUAAGCAUAUCAAUAAGCGGAGGAAAAGAAACCAACAGGGAUUGCCUCAGUAACGGCGAGUGAAGCGGCAACAGCUCAAAUUUGAAAUCUGGCCGUUCCGCGGUCCGAGUUGUAAUUUGUAGAGGAUGCUUCGGGUGCGGCGCCGGUCUAAGUUCCUUGGAACAGGACGUCAUAGAGGGUGAGAAUCCCGUACGUGACCGGCGACCUAGCCCGUGUGAAGCUCCUUCAACGAGUCGAGUUGUUUGGGAAUGCAGCUCUAAAUGGGUGGUAAAUUUCAUCUAAAGCUAAAUACCGGCCAGAGACCGAUAGCGCACAAGUAGAGUGAUCGAAAGAUGAAAAGCACUUUGGAAAGAGAGUUAAAAAGUACGUGAAAUUGUUGAAAGGGAAGCGCUUGCAACCAGACUUGCUUGUGGGUGAUCAGCCGUCCUUCUGGGCGGUGCACUCACCCGCGAUCAGGCCAGCAUCGGUUCGGGCGGUUGGAUAAAGGCCCCGGGAAUGUGGCUCCCCCCGGGGAGUGUUAUAGCCCGGGGUGCAAUGCGGCCAGCCUGGACCGAGGACCGCGCU
rnacentral:rRNA from 1 species